GCUGGGUGUGGUGGUGUGCGCCCGUAAUCCCAGCUACUCGGGAAGCUGAGGUGGGAGAAUCACUUGAACCCAGGAGCUGGAGAUUGCAGUGAGCCAAGAUCACACCACUGCACUCCAGCCUGGGUGAAAGAGUGAGGCUCCAUCUCAA
ensembl:misc_RNA Metazoa_SRP Metazoan signal recognition particle RNA